UAAACAUGUCUAUUAAUAUUUUAGAAGGAUACUUAAACUGAGGUGCAUUGAUGAUAAUAACUUUUGAUUUUGACCAUGCUUGGAAAGCCUGCAGACAGUUAAGGUUUACAGACUUUAAAACGGUAACCUCAACAUCAGAAUUACUUGAAAAAUGGCCAUUUUAUAAAAGGCCAUAUGGGUUUCGUUUGAUUAACAUGGGCGUUACGGCAGGAUUUGAUACUAAUCACGAUAGUUGGUUAAUGAAUUGGAAGCAAUGUGAGGAGAUAAUUAUGCAUUCCUAAGUGACAAAAAUCAUGUUAAAGAAAAAGGCGUACGCAACAUCGUAAAACAAUUACGAGAAAUGUGUACCAAUGAUGAUGACGAUUGUGGCGUAGCAGCCGUUAUGUGGCAUCACUAAUACAACCUUUUAUGAUGGCAAUUGGCGAGAAUAUUUUUAAAUUUAAAUUUAAAGUUUUGAAGUUGCCAUAAAACACCUAUUUAGAUAUGUGUUGCAGUAC